rnacentral:rRNA from 1 species
GUGAGCAACCUGCCCCAGGCUUUGGGAUAACCCCGGGAAACCGGGGCUAAUACCGAAUAUUACCUCUGAUCGCAUGGUUGGUGGUGGAAAGUUUUUCGGCUUGGGAUGGGCUCGCGGCCUAUCAGCUUGUUGGUGGGGUGAUGGCCUACCAAGGCGACGACGGGUAGCCGGCCUGAGAGGGCGACCGGCCACACUGGGACUGAGACACGGCCCAGACUCCUACGGGAGGCAGCAGUGGGGAAUAUUGCACAAUGGGCGGAAGCCUGAUGCAGCGACGCCGCGUGAGGGAUGACGGCCUUCGGGUUGUAAACCUCUUUCAGCAGGGACGAAGCGUAAGUGACGGUACCUGCAGAAGAAGCGCCGGCCAACUACGUGCCAGCAGCCGCGGUAAGACGUAGGGCGCGAGCGUUGUCCGGAUUUAUUGGGCGUAAAGAGCUCGUAGGCGGCUUGUCGCGUCGACCGUGAAAACCUGGGGCUCAACUCCAGGCCUGCGGUCGAUACGGGCAGGCUAGAGUUCGGUAGGGGAGACUGGAAUUCCUGGUGUAGCGGUGAAAUGCGCAGAUAUCAGGAGGAACACCGGUGGCGAAGGCGGGUCUCUGG